GGGACACCUCUCGAAGGACGCGAGUGACGACGCGGCCGACACCGAGCGGACUGCUCAGCCGCGCCCUCCCGCUCCUGCCCCGGAUGGUUUCGAAGCCUUUCCCUUCGGGCAGCGGGAAGCCCUUGAGAAAGGAGCCUUCCCUCAGGAAGAUCCCAGGGCUUCUGCAGCAGCUGCCUUUGAAAUCAUCUUGAAUUCUGCUGGAUCUUCUGGGGAUCUCCAGAGAACAAAACCAUCAGAAACAGAGCAGAAGUGAAGUUAUACUCUGACUGGACACUCACCAGAGCACAGAAUGGUACAAAAGAGACCAGCAAAGCUUUUCAGCCAUUUUAAGAUGCUCUUUUGGAGCCCUCAAUGUUACUCUGCAGGCCACUUGGGGAAGUAGACUUGGCCUCUUUAUGCCAGCUUGCACUCUGCUUGUGUACAUGCCAAACUGUCCAGGGUGUCAUCUGGUCCAAUUCUUUGGUGUGGCUUUUAGUAUUCAAGGCGUGGAUGGGAACUUGACAGCUCUCUGACCUACAAAGCCAAGUAUCUUGGCUUGUUCAACUUAGCCAAGGGGGAAAGUCUGUAGAUGCACCUCUUUGUGGCAACCACCCCCCAGGUCUUUAAAGAGGCAAACAGACCUAUUCUGAAAGAAAUCCUCCCAAGAGCUCAGAAAUAUCCUUUAGGCCUGGUCUGGAAAUUUAGUCAACCUUGUUUGCUCCUCCUAAAUGUGCUCCUGCUUGAAAGAGGCAGAGGGAAGUGAGUGGUUGGUCCUCCUGGAUCGCUCAGCAGCUUCCUAUAGCAUUGACUGAUAGUCUUCUCGGUCUGGGGGUGAGGAGUAAGAGGCCCCUCUUUCUUCAAGAGAUGAGCUUAGAGAAGACCAUGUCCAAAAGCCGCCCCUCUCGGUGUCCAUUUCCCAGGGAGAAAUGGGACGAUGUCACCGGGAAUGUUAUCAGCUCUGCUUCUCCAUACCAUUUGAAUGAGAGAGGCUGAUCAUGGUCCUGAACUGUGUCUGGAUGGAAGGAAACAUUGGAUAAGAAGCUGAAGCCUGAGGGGGCUUCCCUGGAGGCAUUAGGGUUUAUACACCCCCAAAGGAGUAGAGAGCUUGCUUGGGAUGUUCCCAGAAGGAGCCCCUGCCGAGGGGCCCAGCCAUUCCUGGCCAAGGUGACCUGAACCACACCGUGAGCCACAAUUAGGAGCUGGAAUGGAAAGACUCUUUGUUCUGGGUGAGAACAUUGAGCAAUCGUGUGUGUGUGUGUGUGUGUGUGUGUGUGUGUGUGUGUGUGUGUGUGUGUACACGCACAUACAUACAUGCAUCCCUGUGCAAUAGAGGGUGGCUGACAUUAAUGAUGCCAUAGUGAACGGCAGAGGAUCAGGAUCCCAGCCUGGCUUGGGAUACAGGCUUCUCCUAGGGAUGUUUCACUGCUGUUCUUCCUGACCUCUGUCUUAGUCCUCACACAAGAAACUAUCAAAAAGACCUGGAACUGACAGUUUUCAGAGAAAAGAUCAAGAGAAGCCAGCCUCAGAAGACCUUCUUCCUGGCCACACUCAGAACUGCUAAUGAAGCCAGAAUUAUGAGGUUAAUUUUAUGUCUUCCUAAAACUUCCUUUCCAAUACAUUGUGCAACUCUAGAGACUUGCCCAGGUUUCUCCAGCAGCAACAGAAGGAGGACUGGGCUGGUCCUUUGAUGCUUCAGCCAGGAGUCAGAAGAUCCAAAUAACUUUGAUUAAGAAUGAGUUUUUCUUAGAAGGCCAUGACUUCUUCAAAAUGUCCACCUGGUUUCACCAAUUAGCUCCGGGGGCCCAGGAAUGUCAGCUUUCCUCUUAGCUUUUCAAUAUUGCUCUCUCUCAUGUGAGAAAUAACAAAACACAGAAUCUUUUUUAAUACCAACCCCACAAGAAAAGUUUAUGUAAUCAUGAGACUGGGGUCUCUGAGAAUUGUUGGAGCCAAAGAGCAUUUGGGGAGAAGUCAAAAAAAGGCAUAAGAGCACAAAAGUGCCUACCGUUCCUGUCCUAUUGUUCCCUUCAUUAUACCAGAUUAACAUAGUUGUUGCAUACUUUUACUUAUAUAUACUUUUUUUUCUCUCAUGAUGGGUUAUUGUUUAUGUGAUGAUUGUAUAUACUGUUGUGACAAAAUGAAAUAAAAAAAAAAAGA